rnacentral:rRNA from 1 species
AUGCCACCACCCUGGAGCGCCUCGGCCUGGCCGACCUGUCCUCCCCGCACCCCCGCGCGCGCUCCGCCGCCAUGGGCAUCGCUAGCCCCCUCCAGGCCGCGGGGCGGCGCCGGGGAUGCGGCCGCGACCGCGACGACGCCCGUGCUCGUCUCCGUCGACGUGGCCCGGCGCCGUGGCCGGCUCCGGCUCCGGCUCGACGGCAUCCUGCGCACCGUCAUCACCCUCGGCUGCUACCGGUCACCAUCCAUGCCAGUGCCCAUCACCUACCUGCUGCUUCUCAUCUCAUCCUCUUACCUGCUGUUGCUGUAUGUCAUGUCUGCACCAUGGACAGAAAAUUCAGAGUCAACUGAAAGAAAUUCUUGA